rnacentral:lncRNA from 1 species
CCUUAAGCUAUAAGAGAUCAGGUUUAAAAGAUUAAAUGGAAAGCAAAACAUGGCUCCAGUCUGUUAGACCCAAAACCUGAACUAAUAUGCAUUUGGACCAUGGCCAUGAAAGGCACAUCCACAACCAAACAGUUUCAGCUAAUCAACUAAGAGUCACAGUCCUUAAUUAGUACAUAUUCAGAAAAAACCUAAGCAGCCUUGAAUCAACUAUAUUCAAACAAGCUCAAAGCCAAGCCUUAAAACAAAAAUGAAACUCACAUAAGAAACUAAACUAAAACAUGAAUAACGAUAUGGUAGAAUUUAACACAACAAAGACUGCUAUUUUCAUUUAAUCCCAAUUCGGUCACAGAUCUUCGAACAAAGCUUAAUCAGGCUUUAUUUCCAUCAUGGUUCAAAAAGAUACCUGGAAAGCAAAGAAAAUAAGAAGAGUGAUGGAUCAGCAGCAGCAAAGCAGUACCAGCAGCAAUGUAACAGUGCUUAACCAGCUGAAACCAACCCAGACUUCAAACCAACUCCAAACAACUCGAAUCAAACUUCUAAAAUUAGACUCAAUUCAUUUUUCCACCCAUAUGCACAACUAUGGAACUUUUCAGUGAUUUUAACUAAGGAAUGAGGAUCAGAAAACCAAAACCAACAACAAUUUAGUAGUUUUCAACCAGAAAAGUGUCAGGAAUUAAGAGUGCCCCUGUUUUUGUUUUUCAGGGGUCUUUUUAUCUCUUCCCCACCUGACUUGAAUAGCAAGCCUUAGUGCCUUUACAGGCAAGGCAUUAGGGCAGCUUAAAGAUAUCAGUCUUUGCAUUUUGCCCCUUUUUCAAUUUUGGUUUUUGCUUACAUACCCCUAAUGUAAAAUUCAGAAUUUCAAAAUAGUCCCAAAUCUCCUUUCCUGGAAGCUUCCUAUUCAGCUACUACAAAUUCCCUCACCUAGAUAUCCUAAUCUAACCCUCGAAACUCUGUUAAUUACCCCUCCCCCCCGGAGAACUCAAAUGGGUUAUGGUUCAAGUUGACCCAACGGUUUAACUAGGUUAACAAGCUGCCCUUCUUUUGCAAAUGGGUCAGACCCAUAGCCCAAACAGCUAAAUAAACUCAACCUAAUCAGUAACAAAAGAAAACACAAAUGACUUCCAAAACCUAAACUAACUGACUGAUUAACUAACACAAACAGGCAAGGAAUCAACUAAAUUAUUAAAUUAGAAUAACUUAAUUAUACUAAUGAGGCUAACAUAAAAAGGAAGAUACUCAGAAACUUAACUAUAACAUUGAUAAAAACUCGACUAGAAAACACUAAUAAGUUUUCAACCAGAGAAAAAGGAGAAGAAAAGAAGAGGGAUGAAAAGUGAAUAAAAAACCACGAAUGGACAAAAAGAUAGAUAAAAACUCACCAAUCGAUCUCGAAGUUACACUUGAUGCCCUGAUUCACACGAAACUGAUGCUAAUCACUUGUUCUCUGUUAAGAACAAACAAACAACAUUAGUUUUGUAGUUAAUCAACCUUUUAGUCAUGAAAAACAAAGGGUUGAGUCAAUGCAUGCCACCAGAUUCGACAUGAAUUGAUUUUAAACUUUUAGGGCUCGAACUCGGAUUUAAAAUUCGAUACGUUCUAGCAAAAUUCGAGGGAAACAGAGUGGGGAUUUGGAACAAGGGGGUCAUGGCAGUUAUGUGGUAUCGAUUUGGGGUGUAACGGCGUCGCCGGACAGAUGUGGUCGAAUAAGGGCGGCGGAUUAGGGUUCAUAAACUUGCAUCUUUGAUCUGAGAUUCGAUGAACUAGGCUAUGAUUCGAGGGUAAAAGGCUGGAUAUCUGGGUUGAGGAGACAAAGAAAGUUCUAGGGUGUUAAUUUUGGGUGGAUUGGAGGCGGCGUCGAUGGACUCAAGGCGGUGGAAACUGGGCGGCGUCUCUAGGGUUCUAUAGAGACGAUAGAGUUCUGAGAAAUGAGAUGGGGG